rnacentral:sRNA from 1 species
AGCAGCCGCGGUAAUUCCAGCUCCAAUAGCGUAUAUUAAAGUUGUUGCAGUUAAAAAGCUCGUAGUUGAAUUUCGGGGUUAGUAGGUUGGUCAUGCCUCUGGUAUGUACUGGUCUCACUGAUUCCUCCUUCCUGAUGAGCCGUAAUGCCAUUAAUUUGGUGUUGCGGGGAAUUUGGACUGUUACUUUGAAAAAAUUAGAGUGUUUAAAGCAAGCUAACGCUUGAAUACAUUAGCAUGGAAUAAUGAAAUAGGACGUUCGAUCCUAUUUUGUUGGUUUCUAGGAUUGACGUAAUGAUUAAUAGGGAUAGUUGGGGGCAUUAGUAUUCAAUUGUCAGAGGUGAAAUUCUUGGAUUUAUUGAAGACUAACUACUGCGAAAGCAUUUGCCAAGGAUGUUUUCAUUAAUCAAGAACGAAAGUUAGGGGAUCGAAGACGAUCAGAUACCGUCGUAGUCUUAACCAUAAACUAUGCCGACUAGGGAUCGGAUGAUGUUAAUUUUUAAUGUACUCAUUCGGCGCCUUA